GGGAGGCCUGGGUUCCCUUCAGGAGGGCACUGAGAAUCCCCCUGUUGCAUCCCCAAUCCCAGGCCCCCACAGACCACAAGGAGAAGUGGCCAGGGUCAUCGCACUGGAAAUUGGCCCCUGAGCAGUCCCUCCAGUGCUUGGCGUGACACCCAAGACAUCCUGGCCCGAUGACCACAGCUGUCUGCACACAGGACCCUCCUAGGACAGCCAAGGCUAUAAAACGGUGCAGCAGGCCCCUGGGGCAGGCAGGCGUCUCCCAGAUGCACGUUCCUGCCCCCACUGCUCCGAAGGCCAAAAUCACCAUUCAGGACACAGUGGCAGUGUGGGAGCAGACCAGGGGUCCCGCUACUCGUGCAGUGAUGAUCCGUCCUCCAGAAAGCUUUGGCCUCUGCAUCGCCGAGAGGGAAGGCAUGGAGGAGGAGGAGAGCUGGGAAGGCAGCCCAGAGCCCCUCGGCCUGGGCUCCCCUGUGGGGACCACAGAGUCUCCAGGUUCUGCCAGCCCCAUGGAGUCUCCAGAGUACUCGAGGUGGGGAGGCCUGUGCCAGUGCGCCAGUCUCCCUAACCUGAGCGGGCCAGAGCACAGGGAGGAUGACUCCUCCGACGCUGGCAGCCGGGAGGGCCUGUGGAUGUGGGCUCCUCCACGGGCCUCGGAGACCCCGGAACCAGGGCCCAUGCAGGCUGUCCCCGCCUGGGGGCCACGGCUGAAGACUUCCCCCUACUGGCAUGGCAGCCCCACGCACUCUGGGGACAGUCACGGGCUGGAGCCGGCCAGAGCCAGCCCUGGGCUGGGAGACCAGGCCCGCGUGCCCUCCCUGGCCAGAGGCCUCCUUACCUCUUAUUCCUUGGGGCACCUGGAUGAUGGGUGCCUCCUAGAAGAGAGGCCGAGUCCAGCAUCUGUCCUGCCCAGGCUGGGCAGCAGCCUUCCGUGUGUCUUCACGGCAUCCUGUGCACUUGGUUGAGCCCCCACCGCCCAGGCUCUUCCUGGGGCCAGGACACCCUGACACUGGAAGACAACAGCCAUGCCAGGAGCCACUGUACUCUCCUCCCCGCCCCCCUCCCCCACCGCCACCCUCAGGUGGUGCUGAGCCUGUAUUAAAUUGUCCCAUGGAAAGGAGUUUGCUCCAGUUUGUGACCCUGGUGCCCAGCGGCAGCAAGCUUCCCCGUGUUCCUGGGGAGAUGGGAGGUUCCACAGCCCCCAUCCUCAGGCAGAGACCCGCUCAGGACCCUGCAGGCACAGAAGAAACUCCUGGCUCCUGGCUUUGGAUCGGCACAGCUCUGGUGGUUGUGGCCAUCUGGGGAGUGAACGAGCAGAUGGAAGACCUCUCUCUCUGUCUUUGCCUCUCCUCUCUCUGUGUAACUCUGACUUUCAAAUAAAUAAAUAAAUAUUUUAAAAAUGUAUUAUGUA
ensembl:lncRNA